AUGAGGGCAAGGUCAUCCUACACUAUAAAUGUAUCUUUCGACCAGAUGUGUGAAUUCGAUAAUCUNNNNNNNNNNNNNNNNNNNNNNNNNNNNNNNNNCAGCCAUGAGGAUUGGCUACUACCUGUUGCCCAAAAGUUCCUCGCACAGAAAAAAAACAGAAAUGAAAAGGGAUGGCGUGAUAAGACAUGCUUAUCUUUCAGCGGCUUCCCAGCAAGUAUGGAGAAGCUUGAAGACUUCUUAUCAAAUGGUCCUCUUGUCCAGUCUGUGAAGGUUUCUGUGCACAAAACACCAAUUCCUGCUGCAACAGUCAAUGGCAGGUCAUUGAUUGAGAUGCUGGUAGAUGCCGUGUCAGAGAAUCAUCUAAAUAAACUGAGCUGGGAAGGCAUAUUUAAUCAGGACGACAUUGUGAUCAUUGAUUAUGGAUGUGGUUCUAAACAGAUGAAGAUACUACAAGACACCGUGCCAGCUUCAGAAGAGGCUAUGCUAAAAGACCUACGCACAGCUGCUAAGUUGUUCAUACCAUUUUACAAGAUUAAUAAUGUUUUGCCAGUCUACUUUGAUCAGUUCAAUGAAGAGCUACAUGGAGCGACUAAUGUGUGUGUUGGGCAGAAAUGGUUCAUGGAAUCUUUGAGAUAUCAUCCCGCCCUCAUGCCCUCAUCUGGGCGUAGAUGCUUCGAAACUAUGCUCCCUAAUAUAUUUAAUAAAUACUACUCCAAACAACGCCCUCCUAACCUGGACAUUAUGGUAGAAAAGCCAUACCCUGAUGAUUGGAAGACAUCUGUGAAAUCUGCACAAAAGGAUGGCAAUGAUGUUCUUCAUAAGGUGUACACUCACAAAAAUAAACCUAGUCUGCAGAGGACUGAUAAGUACGACGACGGCGUGUGUGGGCUUAUGAGGUUCAAACGCAAUGUUCUUGAGCAUGGUGGGCACUGGCAAGGGCAACAAAAAGUGCAAGGGCAGUGUGAGCGACAUAUAGCUGACCUGGAGCUGUUAACCGCCAAGACGUUCUGCAAAUUUCUUCCCUGGCUGGUGCGAACCCUAUUGGAGAAGGGCCUGAUGGAUAAAUAUUUUCGAGAAGCCUGGGAACCGUUUAAAGCAUCCAGGUCAGAUAAAAGCGAUCCAUGGUCGAUAAAAGCACCCUUUCUAGGUCCAACUGGUCGCGAGGGGAGGAGGUUGCGUUCUGCCUGA
rnacentral:rRNA from 1 species